CGGUCUUCUAUGAUGAGGCAUAGUUCAUUUGACUUGUAUAGAAUGAUAACUAACUUACUAUCUUUGAAAUUGGUCUUUCACCCCUAUCUGACACGUUGC